GAUAAUUUGCCUUAGUGCUCCUGAAUGUACACACUUUGGUCCUGCAGUCCUAAAUCAGCAUCAACUUCAAUAGAGGGACUUAUUAAACCUGGUGAUAAACGAGCACCACAGAUACCUUUUUGUCUAUUGUGACAAAAUCAGACCUGCCAGUUCUGGAAGUGUGAUUGAAGGCAGGUGUAUCAGACUUAGGAAACAGUGCUUUGACCAUCCCAAGAACUGAAAGAGAGAAGGGGGCCUGGAUUCCCACCGAAGCUGGACCCAGCAUGGAUUAGAGAGGAUGGCUGGUGACCAGUAGCCUGCAUAAGAAGAGGCAGUACCCCAGUGGGCAUUAGAAAAGGCAUUCUGUUUAAAGAAACCUCUUGGGCCAACCCUAUAAUUAGCUUAAAUAAACCAGCAUUCAGAAUUAAACUGCUGGAGUAGGACUGAUUCACUCCAGGCCCCCACCACCACCCUCGCCCCCACGCCAAAGGGAGAAAAGCUGAGUAUUGCUGUGACAAAAAGAGCUAUAGCGUGGGAUCAUUCCCCCUACUCAUGCAGAAGGGCUAUCAAAAAAAAAAUAAUCAGAUGGACCUCCAAGGAACAUCACAAUACAAAGGAUUGGUUAAUGGCCCUAUCGCACCUUGGAAAUGCUACAUGCAAGGAAGCUCGUCCUGUGGACGUGGAAGCUGAAUAAAGGAAAUAAAAAAGUCACAGGAAGACUUUGCAUCUCUUCACUGUUUGAACUCACAGAGCCAGAGCCACCAAACUGAAGCCAGAGAUCCACAGGGGCUACCUUUUGGGUCCAACCUGAAAGACACUUUGAAUUGACAGAUCACCUACAAUGCAGUCACUUAGGAUUUAGAUGGUAACUCAUUUGUGUGUGUAUA